rnacentral:rRNA from 1 species
UACGGGGGGAGCAAGCGUUGUUCGGAUUUACUGGGCGUAAAGGGCGCGUAGGCGGUCGUGACAAGUCACUUGUGAAAUCUCCGGGCUUAACUCGGAACGGUCAAGUGAUACUGUCGGACUAGAGUACAGAAGGGGCAACUGGAAUUCCUGGUGUAGCGGUGAAAUGCGUAGAUAUCAGGAAGAACACCCGUGGCGAAGGCGGCUCUCUGGGACGGUACUGACGCUGAGGUGCGAAAGCGUGGGGAGCAAACAGG